ensembl:lncRNA
GGCGGUGGGGCGGGGGAGGCUGCCCCUCACGGCCCCGCCUCGGCCCAGGGCCCUCCUGAGGAGGUUUCCCUCUCCUGGGGGAAGAAAAGCUAGCGGGACAACUUGUGGAAAUUAACAAGGAGGAGGAGGAGGAAAAAAAAAAAAAAGCUUUUCUGUGGGACAUCCUCAAAGCUCAGCAUCACGCCGGGUGUCUGAGUUUGUAUAAAGCCUGCCACGCUUGUGAACAUCACCACAGCGGCAGGAGGAAAGCCUGGCUGUGGCCGCUGCACCGAAGUCCUGCGUGCUUCAGAGGUGCCUUGGCUUUCUGGCUGGAAGAUGCUUCCUGCAGCAGGACCGUGUUGCUGCUGAGGACCUGAAGCAGGGCCGUGUUGCUCCUGAGGGGCUGUGGAAGAUGCCUGCUUUUGGGAUUACGCGUGGAGAAAGGCCAUCGGUCAAGGGGAGAGCUGGCUGGUGAAACUGUCUGACUUUCUCCCCCUCUGGGGAAGUGGCUUCAAUGGCUCCAGCUCUCAGGAGAAGCAGUAGGAAAGAUGCCAACGCCUUGCCAAGCAUGUCCUCAACUUUCUGGGCUAUCAUGAUCCUGGCCAGUCUACUAAUCGCUUACUGCAGUGUUACGUGCCAAGAUUGUGCAGCAUCUCAUCAGAACUAUAACCUUGAAGACUCCCCUAAUGCUGUGUUUCUCAGAUUGUGAGUUGUACACCUUGUGGACAAGCCAGUGAGGGGGAAAAAGCUUAUGGUUAAGUUACUUCUAGGGCACGUAUUUUUUUUGUAUUUGAGAAGGGUGGAAGGUGAACAGGCUGCCAUUCCCUUGAAGCCGAAGACAGAUGCUACAGCAGGUUCUAAAGCAUUGCCAGCACUGCUUGCUAGUGAUUUGUGUUGCAGAUGGUGAUACACAGUAGAACAGCCAGCCAGACACAUUUUAAUGUUCCUGUACCUGUGUUAUUUUGUUUACUCAGUACAAAUUACUACAAUCUGCAGUAUCCAAAGAGAAUAAGAAUAUUUUACAUUCCCAACCAGUUGAGACACUGUGAUUUUUGAGCUCCUGCCACACUGAAAGACAGAUCAUGGAAGUGAUCCCUACACAACAUGUGAACGCCUUUUUUUCCCUUCUUUCUUCCUUUUCUGGUCAAAAACAGACAGUUUCCUUCAGUAGCCUUACCCUUUCUGAUAAGGCAAAUCUGUGAUUUUAGUGCAGACUUAUGAAAUUAUUGUCUGCGUCUCCUGAAAUCUCUUACAUGUUGCUUAGCUGCUUUGGACUUACUGCUAAGGCCUUUUAAGCUCAAAUUUUGAGUUACAGCUCAAAUCUCUCCUACUCAUCAGUACUGCAUGUGCAGUAGAAAUGUACUUAUUCUUAGAACUUAACAUAAUGAAUACUAGGAGAGAUCCCUGACUUUCACUUAACCCUUCUUAUGUUAAGAAAACACAUCCAAUUACCCGAAGUUGACUAGUAUCUUCUGUUAAUCACUUAUGGGCUACAUCUGUACUUAGUUCAGUUCUUUAUUUAUUUACUCUGAAAUGCAAAAACAAAUGUACUUGGUUAUAUCAAAAAAUCAUUCAGCCCAGUAAUCACAGCAGUAGCCACAAAUGCUUCCAUAGGGAAGUCUAAGGACAGCACUUGUCCCUAAA